UUAUGUAGUAAUUCAAGGGAGUAAAAAAUGACAAAAUGAACCAAGUUGUAUCACUGUUGGUGCUUUCAACCAAGAUUUCUCAAAAAAAAAGUAACAGCAUGAAUCUGUCCUUCACUGCAGGAAGAAAUUGUGUGACAUACUUAGGAUGCCAAGGAUUGUUGGAAAAGAGUAGGCACUAGCCAUGGCCUUGGCAUGCCCACAAUGCUUUACUCUACCAUGACUUAAUAGGAAGAUUUUACUGCUCGUGGUUGUGUUUCUGACUCAUGUAAAAGCCAUAUAAAUCAGAAAAAUGUGUUCUCAGUGUCCUCUUAAUAUUAGCAAGCCAUAUAAUUAAAAUUAGAAGAGAUAAAAAUGGCACAAAUUUUUCAUCUCCCAAUAUGAGCCAACAGAAAUCAGAAAGUUAUUCUCUGUCAACGUCUUCAAGGAUAUUUUGUGUAAGGCCAUGACCAUUCUCCAUGACGGUCUCCUCAAACAGUGACCAGCAGUCCAUGAAGACCAUUUUCUUAGUGGUUACAACACAGUGAGCUAUUGACGUAGGUGAGCUUUACUUGAAUUUGUUUGUUUUUUUUUUUUUAAACCUAUAUUCUAUUGUAAGGAAAUAAAUUCCUUAAAUGUAGCAGUAAAAUGAUAUGUACUCAUAUUUAUCCUGAAAUGACCUCUUUUGAGGACUCAUCUCACGUGUCUGGCUUAAUGGCAAAACUCAAAGUUGGAUUCAAAAACAUUUAGCCUCCAAUUCUAUUUCUGAGCAAUAACAUGGUGUCAUGAACUAAUCAUUAGCAUUGGUAUUAGAUCUGAACUCUAAUCAUAGAUCUAAUCCAAAUUAACUGUAGACUUCAUCAUUUGUUGAACUUUUUGAGCCAUGGUUUAUUAUGUCUAAAAUGAGGAUUAUGAUAUUGCCUCACAGAGUUGUGAAAUUAAGUAUUAGUGUGCAUGUAAAGUACCCAGAACAUUUUUUUUAUUUUUCCAUUGUACUCCAUCCUGGACUGAGACUGACUCCUAGCUUUUUGAUACAAUUUGGAAAAAUAUAAAAUAUUGACAAAAUGUAAUAAUGAAGAAAAUAGUCUAUGUCUAGGUAGAUAAAUAUCAUUUUUCCAAUGAUAGUUUGUCAACUUGGUGAAUUGCAUUGAUUGACUCUCAAAUAUUAAAUCCUCUGUUAUCCUGAGAUAAAUCCCACUUGGUCAUAAUAUAUUACUAUUUCAAUAUGUUUUUAAAUUUAACUUCUAAAAUUUUAUUUCAAAUUUUAGAUCCAUUAUCAUGAGAAAUUUUUGGUCUUUGUAUUUUUAUAUGUUUUUAUUUUAGUUUUAGGCUGAUUCUGGCUUCAUAUAAUGAGUUGGAAAGAUUACCUCCUUUGCAAUUUUCUGGAAGAGUUUAACAUUUAUAUCAUUUCUUUAAAUAUUUGGUAGAAUUUAACAAUGAAGCUAUAAAGACUUGAAUUGUCGUUGAGGGAAGAUUAUUAACUAAAAGUCAAAUUGCUUUAAUAGAUACAGACUUAUUCACAUUGCUUACUCAUUUUUUUAAGUGAGUUUUGGUAUUUUGUGGCUUUCAUGGUU
rnacentral:lncRNA from 1 species